AUAUCUAUUAACUCAGUUGGUUAUAGUGUGGUGCUGACAAUGUCAAGGUUGCAGGUUCGAUCCCCAUAUAGGACA